rnacentral:rRNA from 1 species
CUGCGGAAGGAUCAUUAUCGAGUUUUGAAACGGGUUGUAGCUGGCCUUCCGAGGCAUGUGCACGCCCUGCUCAUCCACUCUACACCUGUGCACUUACUGUAGGCUUUCAGGAGCUUCUGGAGCAGAGAUGGUCGGCCUCUACAGGUCGGUCGCCUAAGUUUCUAGUUGUGACUGGGGCUUACGUUUACCACAAACUCUUAUAAGUAUCAGAAUGUGUAUUGCGAUGUAACGCAUCUAUAUACAACUUUCAGCAACGGAUCUCUUGGCUCUCGCAUCGAUGAAGAACGCAGCGAAAUGCGAUAAGUAAUGUGAAUUGCAGAAUUCAGUGAAUCAUCGAAUCUUUGAACGCACCUUGCGCUCCUUGGUAUUCCGAGGAGCAUGCCUGUUUGAGUGUCAUGAAAUUCUCAACCUAACGGGUUCUUAAUCGGACUUGCUUAGGCUUGGACUUGGAGGCCUGUCGGCUUUGCUUCUGGGCAUAAGUCGGCUCCUCUUAAAUGCAUUAGCUUGGUUCCUUGCGGAUCGGCUCACGGUGUGAUAAUUGUCUACGCCGCGACCGUUGAAGCGUUUUAAUGGCCAGCUUCUAAUCGUCUCUUGCGAGACAACAUUCAUCGAACUCUGACCUC